UCAAACAAUGUGGUUGUGACAUCUGUCACCCCACUGGUCACCAGAGCUGAUUUAGGAUGAUCUGGCUGACUAGGCAAGUGUCGCCCUCCCUCCCUGCUCCAUUUGCUUCUCAACUGAAGGAACACACAGUCCUGUAAGGGGGUGACUUUCCCCAAAUAGAGGAGGAUUUGCUGGCCCAGAGUAUAUAGUAGCUGCACUCCCCUGGUAGAACCUCCAAACAGCUCUCAAGCAUGCACAGUGCUCUUUCAGAGACCUCUUGAGUCCGAUUCCCAGCACCCACAUGGUGGCUCACCACCAUCUAUCCUGGGAUCUGAU
rnacentral:snRNA from 1 species